UACAGAGGUCCCAAGCGUUGUUCGGAUUCACUGGGCGUAAAGGGUGCGUAGGUGGUGAGGUAAGUCGGAUGUGAAAGCUCGGAGCUCAACUCCGAAAUGGCAUUGGAAACUGCCUUGCUCGAGGGUUGGAGGGGGGACUGGAAUGCUUGGUGUAGCAGUGAAAUGCGUAGAUAUCAAGCGGAACACCAGUGGCGAAGGCGAGUCCCUGGACAACUCCUGACACUGAGGCACGAAAGCUAGGGGAGCAAACAGG
rnacentral:rRNA from 1 species